GAAAUAAAUUGUCGCGGAAAUCGUGCACAAUGUCUUGCGGAAGGCAGUCUUGCACGUCAUGGUUGGACAUUUUGCCAAAGUCGGAAGUGAAAAUGAAACGUCGCGCUUAAACAAGUCUAAAUCCUUUGUCGCAUGCUUAAGAGUUAAAUACGUAUAUUAUAUCCUGGGUAAUGACUAGACUUUGAUGCCUUGUAAGUUCCUAUAUCCUAAGUAGAUGUCCAUCCAUUUUGGAGUGCGUGGAUGUGUUAGCGCAUGUGCUUUUUUCACGAAAAUAAUUUCUAGGGAGGCUGGUGUAAUUGUGUAAAUGAGUUAUGAAUGUUCUGAGUGUAUUUUUGAUAGUUUCAUAGUUU